rnacentral:lncRNA from 10 species
AGUAGAGACGGGGUUUCACUGUGUUAGCCAGCAUGAUCUCCAUCUUCUGACCUCGUGAUCCGCCCGCCUCGGCCUCCCAAAGUGCUGGGAUUACAGGCGUGAGCCACUGCGCUUCUUCUUGAUCAAUUUAAGCCAAGUGCUCACAACAUACAUAGUUGAUGAUGUUUCUGGGAGCCUCCAGUUAAUUCCACACAAGGCUUCACAAAACAGUUGAACCGACAGCGACAACAAAAAGCCUCCCUGCAUAUAAUGAAAUGGCCUUAGAAAUUAUAAAGCCGAUUAGAAAUGCUGAUACAAGAAAUGUAGGGAGAAGUUCUUAUGUUCAUCAAGUGCCAUUACUGGCAAUGACCUUAAGUGAGGUCGUACUUGUAUGCAGCCAGCCUUGGGAACAGGCUGAGACCACUGCUGUGUGCAAUCUGUUGAUCUAAGUGAUAUUAAGUGCACACCCAAUGUACUGGUUUCUCUCAUCGAAAGAGGUACUAAAGUAACUGAACGGUGGGUAAGCCAAGGGUCAAGGGGAAUAACUAUCUACCCUCACUUACUUCAAGCAAGCACACUUGGACUGUGAAAGGAUAAGGUGUCUUGGGUUCAAGAAUGAGAUACUUUUUUCUUGGGGGAGGUGGGGUAAGAAGUAUUGAAGCAGUAGAGAAUUGACCUCACCAUUUUGUUUUUCUUUUUUUCUAUUAUACUCUUGAUAGGCAUUUGUUUCCAGAGCUUGGGUGUAAUGAGUACUUAAUUCAGUCACACCACGUGUAGUCCCCAGGGAGUUUUAGGAUAAAUGGCUAUUCCUUUUGCUAUCUGAGGUGCCAUUCUAAACCAGGGCGGGAAAUCAGGUUUGGACAACAGUGAAGAGAAAGGCAUUGGUUGCCUUGUAUGAUGAUGGUGAAUCAGGUAUUGAUCUUUUAAAUAAAUCAGAGAUAGUUUAGAGGUAGCAAAUAAAGGUAAAAGAUAUUAGACUUGGCAGAUUUAUAUCGGGCUGGUUUUAAUUUGCUAUGUUUUGAUCUCAUAAGGGAAGUUGAGAUAUCCAGCAGCUAACAACUACUAUGUGCAAUGAGCACAUGCUUGAAUAAUAAUUGUUAUGUAUGACUCACCUAUUAAGCAAAAGCAUUUUAACAAAUAAGCUCUCUAUAUAAUCACUUUAUAAGGUAGAUACUAUUCAUCCAAUAUACAAGAUGAGGAAACUGAAGUUCAGCAAGUGUAAGUAAUGUACUUAAGGUGACACAGAACUAAGUGCCAAAUCUAAGAUUCAAAUCUAAGUUGUCUGACUCUAAAACCAAUUCUCCUCUCACUACACUACUGGACAUAUCAAGUAAUAUGUGUUUUAACAAUGAUCUUUUGUAUAUUAAGCUUUUUUGUUCCCCUUGAAUUUAUAGUACCAUGAACCUAUUCGGCCCAUGGAAAGUUAGGCUUUGAAAUGACUUGGACUCAUCCAAUUUUGAGCUUUAAAUGAAAGCAUUCUAUGAAUGGUGGCUCCAGAUGACAUCUGACAUCCUAGUCCUCCUCAUACUGGCUUCCUCAUAUCAAAAAGCAAAUCAAUGGGUAUUAUCAUGAAUCUUAGUAAACUCAAUCUAUACGUUAGUGUUAAGUUCCAUUUAUGCUUCAAAAAUUCAAAUAAUAUCAAAAGAAACAAGCCUAAAAUAUGGUAUAUAUGUAUUAUGUUCUUGCAAUUGAAAUAUUUUGAAUUAUGAUUGUUGUUAUUGUUGUAUUUAAGGGAUUUUAAAACUUCAUCUUUACAGAUAUAUUUUAAUAAAGUUUUUCUGCACUUGACCAAUACUACAAAUUGUUUAUUAAUCUAUCAUGAAUAUAACAUUAAAAAUGGAGAUGUUGUAUGCAGUGAACCCUAUCACAUAAAGGCAAAUUGUAUAGGAAAAACAUCUACACAUAUUCCUAUAAAUUGAAAUAUUAAAUUAUCUAUUAUUUGACAAGAAACUGAGUUAAAUUUUUUUUCAGUAAAAUGUCUUCUAUAUUCAAAUGUCAUUUUAAUUGACAUAUUUUGAAAAUAUAGUUUACAAAAAAGUUAUGUAAAUUUAUAUAAAACCGUUUCAACAAAAUAUGAUUAUACUAGUAUGCAUACAUUUGAGAUUAAAUUCAUUUAUAUUUAGAUUUUUAGUAUAUAUGAAGAUUACUCUUUUAAAAUAAUUAAAUACUGAAAUCAGUU